rnacentral:rRNA from 1 species
UCUGCUGUUAAAAAGUGGAGCUUAACUCCAUCAUGGCAGUGGAAACUGUUGGGCUUGAGUGUGGUAGGGGCAGAGGGAAUUCCCGGUGUAGCGGUGAAAUGCGUAGAUAUCGGGAAGAACACCAGUGGCGAAGGCGCUCUGCUGGGCCAUCACUGACGCUCAUGGACGAAAGCCAGGGGAGCGAAAGGGAUUAGAUACCCCUGUAGUCCUGGCCGUAAACGAUGAACACUAGGUGUCGGGGGAAUCGACCCCCUCGGUGUCGUAGCCAACACGUUAAGUGUUCCGCCUGGGGAGUACGCACGCAAGUGUGAAACUCAAAUGAAUUGACGG